UACGAAGGGGGGCUAGCGUUGCUCGGAAUUACUGGGCGUAAAGGGAGCGUAGGCGGAUAGUUUAGUCAGAGGUGAAAGCCCAGGGCUCAACCUUGGAAUUGCCUUUGAUACUGGCUAUCUUGAGUACGGAAGAGGUAUGUGGAACUCCGAGUGUAGAGGUGAAAUUCGUAGAUAUUCGGAAGAACACCAGUGGCGAAGGCGACAUACUGGUCCGUUACUGACGCUGAGGCUCGAAAGCGUGGGGAGCAAACAGG
rnacentral:rRNA from 1 species